rnacentral:rRNA from 1 species
GACGAACGCUGGCGGCGUGCUUAACACAUGCAAGUCGAACGGAAAGGCCCUGCUUUUGUGGGGUGCUCGAGUGGCGAACGGGUGAGUAACACGUGAGUAACCUGCCCUUGACUUUGGGAUAACUUCAGGAAACUGGGGCUAAUACCGGAUAGGAGCUCCUGCUGCAUGGUGGGGGUUGGAAAGUUUCGGCGGUUGGGGAUGGACUCGCGGCUUAUCAGCUUGUUGGUGGGGUAGUGGCUUACCAAGGCUUUGACGGGUAGCCGGCCUGAGAGGGUGACCGGCGACAUUGGGACUGAGAGACGGCCCAGACGGGUACGGGAGGCAGUAGGGGGAAAUAUGGCACAAUGAGCGGAAGCCUGAUGCAGCAACGCUGCGUGCGGGAUGACGGCCUUCGGGUUGUAAACCGCUUUCGCCUGUGACGAAGCGUGAGUGACGGUAAUGGGUAAAGAAGCACCGGCUAACUACGUG